rnacentral:misc_RNA from 1 species
AAGUCGUAACAAGGUUUCCGUAGGUAAACUUGCGGAAGGAUCAUUAGAAAUUUUUUAUGUAUUCAAAAUUUCAAUCUUUAUAAAAAAAUUUUGUAUUUUAUUUAUAUAAAAUAAAAAGACAACUUUCAACAACGGAUCUCUUGGCUCUU